CAAGACAGAAGAACACAGGUCAGGACUGAGUGGAGAGGUCAACAGAGGAGUAGAAGGAUUGCUGACAUGGUCCAAGGCGUAGUCACCGGUGUGCAUGCGGAGGAUCUUGGUGAUGGUGAACUGUGGCCCGGAGUAGACCUGGGAGUUGUUGUAGAACCAGACAUACUGACUGGCCGGGUUGGACUGGGCUUGACAGAGUAAAGAAACAGUCUCUCUCUCCAGGGCUGAGUAUCCCCGCUCUGUCCUACUGUACGGAGUCACGUCUAUCUGUGGAAGGUCUGGGCCAACUGAGGAGAAAGGAUAUGAACAACAACAAAAUUAUGAUGGACACGGAAACGCAAUAGUACAUACGCAGGUGGAAAUGUUACCGCUGCGGGUCUCAUGUUGCCAGACAUAUUGGAUGGGGCCAGUCCCGUUUUCCAGAUUGCAGCGCAUCCACAUUAUGGAUCCUUCCACUGGAGACACAUCACUCAUCAGGAGAUGCCGGAGGUCACGUACGUCCCUCUCUCCGCUCCAGAAGUUUCUUGGAGAGUCCAGUUGCAUGCACGGACUUCACUGGACUGAGAGUAGGAAGGGACGCAGGGGUUAGAAUAACAUGAGCUCAUCUAUUUUACAAGAGAGACUCAUAAGUGGACA